GUGGGCUAUGGGGACAUGAGGCCCGUCACCGUCGGGGGCAAGAUUGUGGGCUCCUUGUGCGCCAUCGCUGGCGUGCUGACCAUAGCCCUGCCUGUGCCCGUCAUCGUGUCCAAC
rfam:Alligator mississippiensis ScZkoYb_43, whole genome shotgun sequence.